rnacentral:hammerhead_ribozyme from 1 species
AUCCAGUUGAUGUCGAGUCCCAAAUAGGACGAAAUACGCAUUCUGGAU